UACGGAGGGGACUCGCGGUGUUCGGAAUUACUGGGCGUAAAGCGAGCGUAGGCGGACUAUUAAGGCAGGGGUGAAAUACCGGGGCUCAACCCCGGAACUGCCCUUGAUACUGGUAGUCUGGAGUUCUGGAGAGGUGUGGGGAAUUCCGGGUGUAGAGGUGAAAUUCGUAGAUAUUCGGAGGAACACCAGUGGCGAAGGCGGCUCACUGGCCAGAUACUGACGCUGAGGUGCGAAAGUGUGGGGAGCAAACAGG
rnacentral:misc_RNA from 1 species